CAUGCAAGUCGAACGGCAGCAUAGAGAGCUUGCUCUCUGAUGGCGAGUGGCGAACGGGUGAGUAAUAUAUCGGAACGUGCCUAGUAAUGGGGAAUAACUAGCUGAAAGGUUAGCUAAUGCCGCAUACGACCUACGGGUGAAAGCAGGGGAUCUUCGGACCUUGCGUUAUUAGAGCGGCCGAUAUCUGAUUAGCUUGUUGGUGGGGUAAUGGCCUACCAAGGCGACGAUCAGUAGCUGGUCUGAGAGGACGAUCAGCCACACUGGAACUGAGACACGGUCCAGACUCCUACGGGAGGCAGCAGUGGGGAAUUUUGGACAAUGGGGGCAACCCUGAUCCAGCCAUUCCGCGUGAGUGAAGAAGGCCUUCGGGUUGUAAAGCUCUUUCGCAAGAGAAGAAAACUUACUAUCUAAUAAAUAGUAAGUAUGACGGUAUCUUGACAAGAAGCACCGGCUAACUACGUGCCAGCAGCCGCGGUAAUACGUAGGGUGCAAGCGUUAAUCGGAAUUACUGGGCGUAAAGCGUGCGCAGGCAGUUUUAUAAGUCAGAUGUGAAAUCCCCGAGCUCAACUUGGGAACUGCGUUUGAAACUGUAAGACUAGAGUGUGUCAGAGGGGGGUAGAAUUCCAAGUGUAGCAGUGAAAUGCGUAGAG
rnacentral:rRNA from 1 species